rnacentral:rRNA from 1 species
CCCAGACUCCUACGGGAGGCAGCAGUGGGGAAUAUUGGGCAAUGGGCGCAAGCCUGACCCAGCAACGCCGCGUGAAGGAAGAAGGCUUUCGGGUUGUAAACUUCUUUUGUCAGGGACGAAGCAAGUGACGGUACCUGACGAAUAAGCCACGGCUAACUACGUGCCAGCAGCCGCGGUAAUACGUAGGUGGCAAGCGUUAUCCGGAUUUACUGGGUGUAAAGGGCGUGUAGGCGGGGAAGCAAGUCAGAUGUGAAAACCACGGGCUCAACCUGUGGCCUGCAUUUGAAACUGUUUUUCUUGAGUGCUGGAGAGGCAAUCGGAAUUCCGUGUGUAGCGGUGAAAUGCGUAGAUAUACGGAGGAACACCAGUGGCGAAGGCGGAUUGCUGGACAGGAACUGACGCUGAGGCGCGAAAGCGUGGGGAGCAAACAGGAUUAGAUAC